AUCUAUAUAAUAUAAUUUAAUAUAUUUGACUUCCAAUCAUAUAAUCUACAAUAGUAGUUUAGAUA
rnacentral:tRNA from 1 species